AAGCCAUGUUGGGGACAACGUCUAAGCAAUUCCCGAAAUCUCUCCUAGGCAUCAUGAAUUGUUUUAUCCCCCAUAUGAGUAAAGUGUGAAAUCUAUGCUAUAAUCUU